rnacentral:rRNA from 1 species
CCCUUAGAUGUUCCGGGCCGCACGCGCGCUACACUGAUGCAUUCAACGAGUCUAAAACCUGCUCUGAUAGGGGUGGGUAAUCUUUUGAAUGUGCAUCGUGAUUGGGAUAGAUGAUUGCAAUUUUUCAUCUUCAACGAGGAAUGCCUAGUAAACGCAAGUCAUCAGCUUGCAUUGAUUACGUCUCUGCCCUUUGUACACACCGCCCGUCGCUCCUACCGAUUGAAUGAUCCGAUGAAUAUCAUGGAUUGAGGAUGCAAGUAGGUUCGCCUAUCUUCAUCUUCGAGAAGUGAAGUAAAUCUUAUCAUUUAGAGGAAGGAGAAGUCGUAACA